rnacentral:rRNA from 2 species
AGACCCGAAACCCGGUGAUCUAGCCAUGGGCAGGUUGAAGGUUGGGUAACACUAACUGGAGGACCGAACCGACUAAUGUUGAAAAAUUAGCGGAUGACCUGUGGCUGGGGGUGAAAGGCCAAUCAAACCGGGAGAUAGCUGGUUCUCCCCGAAAGCUAUUUAGGUAGCGCCUCGUGAAUUCAUCUCCGGGGGUAGAGCACUGUUUCGGCUAGGGGGCCAUCCCGGCUUACCAACCCGAUGCAAACUGCGAAUACCGGAGAAUGUUAUCACGGGAGACACACGGCGGGUGCUAACGUCCGUCGUGAAGAGGGAAACAACCCAGACCGCCAGCUAAGGUCCCAAAGUCAUGGUUAAGUGGGAAACGAUGUGGGAAGGCCCAGACAGCCAGGAUGUUGGCUUAGAAGCAGCCAUCAUUUAAAGAAAGCGUAAUAGCUCACUGGUCGAGUCGGCCUGCGCGGAAGAUGUAACGGGGCUAAACCAUGCACCGAAGCUGCGGCAGCGAACGUAUCACCCAAGACAACUUUACGGAGUUGACGAUUGACGGAGCGAAGCGACGUCAAAGCGUUCAUUAAAGUCGAGUUGGCUUAGGGAUACGUUCGUUGGGUAGGGGAGCGUUCUGUAAGCCUGUGAAGGUGUGUCGUGAGGCAUGCUGGAGGUAUCAGAAGUGCGAAUGCUGACAUAAGUAACGAUAAAGCGGGUGAAAAGCCCGCUCGCCGGAAGACCAAGGGUUCCUGUCCAACGUUAAUCGGGGCAGGGUGAGUCGACCCCUAAGGCGAGGCCGAAAGGCGUAGUCGAUGGGAAACGGGUUAAUAUUCCCGUACUUGGUGUUACUGCGAAGGGGGGACGGAGAAGGCUAUGUUGGCCGGGCGACGGUUGUCCCGGUUUAAGCGUGUAGGUGUGUGUUCCAGGUAAAUCCGGUUCACUUUAACACUGAGGCGUGAUGAC